UACGGGGGGGCAAGCGUUGUUCGGAUUUACUGGGCGUAAAGGGCGCGGAGGCGGCCAGCACAAGUCAGUUGUGAAAUCUCCGAGCUUAACUCGGAAAGGUCAACUGAUACUGUGCGGCUAGAGUGCGGAAGGGGCAACUGGAAUUCUUGGUGUAGCGGUGAAAUGCGUAGAUAUCAAGAGGAACACCUGCGGCGAAGGCGGGUUGCUGGGCCGACACUGACGCUGAGGCGCGAAAGCCAGGGGAGCGAACGGG
rnacentral:rRNA from 1 species